GAUUGGGACCCUCAAGAGGAGUGUUGAUCCAACAAAAAGGUCCUGGUGAGUGGGGAUAAUGCAGUAAGAAGGCCCUUACCAGACCCUGAUACCUCAACGUUGGAUUUCCCAGUCUCCAGAACGGUAAGAAAUAAAUUUCUAUUGUUCAUAAAUUACUCAGUCUGUGAUAUUCUGUUAUAACAAUGCUAAACAAAUGAAGACAGAAACAGGUACCAGAAGUGGGGUGUUCUAGAAUCAAUUUCUAAAAAUGUGG
rnacentral:lncRNA from 1 species